GGAUUAGAUACCCUGGUAGUCCACGCUGUAAACGUUGGUCACUAGGUGUUGGCAGUUUACUGUCAGUGCCCAAGGGAAACCGAUAAGUGACCCACCUGGGGAGUACGCUCGCAAGGGUGAAACUCAAAGGAAUUGACGGGGGCCCGCACAAGCGGUGGAGCAUGUGGUUUAAUUCGAUGGUACGCGAGGAACCUUACCUGGACUAGAAUGCGCGUGACAGGUUUAGAGAUAGAUCUUCCCCGCAAGGGGCACAAAGCAAGGUGCUGCAUGGCUGUCGUCAGCUCGUGCCG
rnacentral:rRNA from 1 species